rnacentral:rRNA from 1 species
ACGGCUCAGUAACACGUGGACAAUCUACCCAAAGGUCUGGGAUAACCCCGGGAAACUGGGGAUAAUACCGGAUAAACCAAUACUUCUGGAAUGAGUGUUGGUUGAAAUGUAAAGCCUUUGGAUGGGUCUGCGGCGGAUUAGGUUGGACGCCGGUGUAACGUACCGGCGUGCCUGUCAUCCGUACGGGUUGUGGGAGCAAGAGCCCGGAGAUGGAUUCUGAGACACGAAUCCAGGCCCUACGGGGCGCAGCAGGCGCGAAAACUCUACAAUGCAGGCAACUGCGAUAGGGGGACAUCGAGUGGCAUCCACCUUGGGUGCCUGUCCAACCGUCUAAAAAACGGUUGUUAGCAAGGGCCGGGUAAGACCGGUGCCAGCCGCCGCGGUAAUACCGGCGGCUCGAGUGGUGGCCGAUAUUAUUGAGUCUAAAGGGUCCGUAGCCGGCUUUGCAAGUCCCCCGGGAAAUCCAGCGGCUUAACCGUUGGGCUUCCGUGGGAUACUACAUUGCUUGGGACUGGGAGAGGUAGGAGGUGCUCAGGGGGUAGGGGUGAAAUCCUGUAAUCCUCUGGGGACCACCGGUGGCGAAGGCGUCCUACCAGAACAGGUCCGACGGUGAGGGACGAAAGCUAGGGGCACGAACCGGAUUAGAUACCCGGGUAGUCCUAGCCGUAAACGAUGCCCGCUAGGUGUCACGGCGGUCGUGAAUCGCCGUGGUGCCGUAGGGAAGCCGCGAAGCGGGCCACUUGGGAAGUACGGCCGCAAGGCUGAAACUUAAAGGAAUUGGCGGGGGAGCAC